GCGGGGAUAGCUCAGUUGGUAGAGCGCAACCUUGCCAAGGUUGAGGUCGCGAGUUCGAAUCUCGUUUCCCGCU
rnacentral:tRNA from 1 species